UACGUAGGCAGCAAGCGUUGUUCGGAGUUACUGGGCGUAAAGGGUGCGUAGGCGGUUGUUUAAGUUUGGUGUGAAAUCUCCCGGCUCAACUGGGGGGGUGCGCCGAAUACUGAAUGACUCGAGUGCGGGAGAGGAGGAGUGGAAUUCCUGGUGUAGCGGUGAAAAUGCGUAGAUAUCAGGAGGAACACCGGUGGUGUAAGACGGCUCUCUGGACCGUAACUGACGCUGAGGCACGAAAAGCGUGGGGUAGCAAAACAGG
rnacentral:rRNA from 1 species